rnacentral:rRNA from 1 species
GACGAACGCUGGCGGCGUGCUUAACACAUGCAAGUCGAACGAAGAGCGAUGGAAGCUUGCUUCUAUCAAUCUUAGUGGCGAACGGGUGAGUAACGCGUAAUCAACCUGCCCUUCAGAGGGGGACAACAGUUGGAAACGACGGGUAAUACCGCAUACGAUCCAAUCACGGCAUCGAGACUGGAUGAAAGGUGGCCUCUAUUUAUAAGCUAUCGCUGAAGGAGGGGAUUGCGUCUGAUUAGCUAGUUGGAGGGGUAACGGCCCACCAAGGCGAUGAUCAGUAGCCGGUCUGAGAGGAUGAACGGCCACAUUGGGACUGAGACACGGCCCAGACUCCUACGGGAGGCAGCAGUGGGGAAUCUUCCGCAAUGGACGAAAGUCUGACGGAGCAACGCCGCGUGAGUGAUGACGGCCUUCGGGUUGUAAAGCUCUGUUAAUCGGGAC